rnacentral:tRNA from 1 species
GUCGCCAGGCUUCAAGCUCGCCGUUCACUCGUAAUGAAUAGGUCCGGAGUUCGAUUCUCCGAGGCGGCACCA